rnacentral:rRNA from 1 species
UACGAAGGGGGCUAGCGUUGCUCGGAAUCACUGGGUUUAAAGGGUGCGUAGGCGGCCUAUUAAGUCAGUGGUGAAAGCCUGGAGCUUAACUCCAGAACUGCCAUUGAUACUGAUGGGCUUGAGUAUAGUUGAGGUGGGCGGAAUGUGUCAUGUAGCGGUGAAAUGCUUAGAUAUGACACAGAACACCGAUUGCGAAGGCAGCUCGCUAAACUAUAACUGACGCUGAGGCACGAAAAGCGUGGGUAGCAAACAGG